CUUCUAACUUCAUCUAUCUCUCAUGCUAGACUAAAAAAAGUCUCUCAUGCUUCUCCGCCGCCUCCCCUGAAGCAUGAGGGUUUGAUCUUAGAGGCUACGUUCUCCUACAAACAAUUGGCUGCAGUACUCAUUCUUCAUGGUCUCAUUAUUACAAGGUUAGGUAUGACCAGCUCGCCAUCAUCUUGCCUGGCCGUUGUUGUGUUCUUCAAUAUGCGUCUCCACAUCUGAGAUUCUGACUCGACGAGGAGGCUCAUCUCGGAUGUCCUUUCAAUUGCAAAGCUGCCACCACUCUCGGAGGUCCACCUGCUCCACACGCCUGUGCUUGACUUCCUCCAGUACCACUACCAUAUAGCACAGCCUGAUGUACCCCCUCCUCACACUGUGCAUGUUCUGCGUGGGCACCAUGUGUGAUCCAUGAGGAGGCAUCAAAUUGUAUGUGCUGCCGCUGCCAAGCUGUGUUUUCAUAUUGUGGUGUUCUUGGCCAUGGAAGAGCCGGAACAAUUGGCGGAAAAUCAUCAUCAAGUUUGGAGCUCUGCAUUUUGCUGAAAGUGUACUACAAACAGGGUUGGAUAAACACCGCAGCCUGCAAAUAUACAAUCCAACUCAUCUAACUUUUCGGAUUUCUCGAAUAUGUCUACAGUGUAAUAUUUAUUUCGAAUACCGUUGUCCAUGUAAAUGAUUGGGCUAACUUCCUGGAUUUGUCGAUCGUCCAUCCACAAGGUUUGGCGUGCACCUCAUCCAACGACACUAUGUAGUCCGUGCAUUUGCAAUGUUACAUGAACGAGUCAAUAACUCAUUCGGAUCAUGUAAAAUAUACAGAUGGAUUUACAGAUGUGUAGAUGAGAGCCAGAAGGAUAUGCAUCGCCUCCAGCAGAACAAUGUAACCCCUGCAGCUGCACUACAACAAUAACACAUAAAUACCAGUAUGUUAAUUAUCAAGUUCGAGUACUUUGAGGUUUAGAGCAGGCUUUAUAGAUGUUUUCAUAUGCCACCAAAUGUUAGCCCAUGGAAUCAGUU